rnacentral:rRNA from 1 species
UACGUAGGGGGCAAGCGUUGUCCGGAAUCAUUGGGCGUAAAGAGCGUGUAGGCGGCCUGGUAAGUCCGCUGUGAAAGUCCAGGGCUCAACCCUGGGAUGCCGGUGGAUACUGUCGGGCUCGAGUCCGGAAGAGGCGAGUGGAAUUCGUGGUGUAGCGGUGAAAUGCGCAGAUAUCAGGAGGAACACCGGUGGCGAAGGCGGCUUUCUGGACGACAACUGACGCUGAGACGCGAAAGCGUGGGGAGCAAACAGG